CAGCACGAGUGCCGAUCGCCGUCGGGCGAGGGAGCUCAGGGGUGAGCCGAAGAGAGUAAUUUAGGGAUAGAGGUGAGAACGGGGUUAGACACAGAAGUAAGAUCACAUGAACUCCGACUUCGGAUGGAACACGUCAUCCAUUUAAACCCUCGAGCCGAGCUCAACUGGAAACUCCACCUGAAUCCUGUGGCUCUUUUCUGUCUGUUCCCAUCAUCCAAGGACAGAGCAUCCCACCCUGACCUCCCUGCAGAACAAGGAGGCCGUGACUGUUUGAAAUUGCCGUGAACCCUCAGGGGCAGCUCCAAUGCCUUUGACUUUCAGACCCCUCACCUGGAAGCCAUCUCUGCUUCACCAGAACUUACUCUACUCCCAAAAUCUACCUGGGAUUACCGCCUUGAAGUCCAGCAGGACAAUGAAGCACACGUGUAAACAGAGGAGGAAUGUGUGUCUGCCGUUCCUUUCUACCCCAUUUGCCUGUAGUAUUCCCGAGGCCCCCUGAGCACAGAAUCUGGUGGAUUCACAGCAUGUGGGAGUUUAAUGAAUACAAGGAAGUCACGUGAGUGCAAGUGUGGUAUAUCUAUAACUGAGUAAGUGGGGAUAUUACAGUCCUAGAUGUCACACCUUCUGUUCCAACUAGAACUUGCUUCACAUACAAAGAGAAGGCAUUUUAAGAAACAAAAACAAUUAAGGAACUUAUCGUCUUUUCUUGCUGUAUCAGUCAACCACUUAUGCUAAAGAAGAUGACAUAGAAGGAGAGGAAAAGAUUGCACAACCCAUAGUUCCUCUUCUCUUCAGUCCUUCCUUCCUCAUCAGUAAGCGUAGGAUAGAGAGUAUUAGUAUAAUGUCCGUGUAUUGAGAAGUGACAUAAAAAUAGUUGAGUUCGUUUUGCACAGCGUUUCCACUGUCCUAGUAAGAAUGAAAUACACAUGCACAUUUGAGCUUUGAAACACAAACUGUGUAAUUUUGAUGAUUUCAAAUAUGAGUUAAAUGUGCUUGUUUGCAUUUAAAACUGGCAUUGCACAAUAUGAAGAUGAACAGUAAAAUUUAUGCUAAUAAUUUAAAUUUUCAAUUUUCUAUACUUAGAAUGACACUAGUAGCAAAUGAAAAACACCAUGACAAGUCAACAGAGAGAAAGCGGAAGAAAGAAAAAAAGCCUUAUAUUUUAGUAUCUUUAAUGACCCUUACUCUUUGAAAAAGGGGUCCUACAUUUUAAUUUUGUACUGGGACCUACAAAUUAUGUAGCUGACCCUGCCCUAGUCAUCCAGGACUUACCCUGUGUCCCACAGGCUUCCUUUGCACCCCAAGACCUGGUAUCAUGCUCUGCAAUUUCAGCAUUCAUUUGGUUGAUCUGUAUUCCAGGUACAUAAUGCUUUGGAAAAGAGAAUGUGUUAUAUUAAGACAUAAAGUUGUAUAUGCAUGAAAAACUUAUAAAAAUGAUCUGAUUUUAGACAAGGAUGUUUAUCUCAACACUUUUUAUAAUAGCAAAAAUUUGGAACAACAUAUUUGUUGCAAUAUGGGAGAUCAAUUUAUUAAAUGAAUUUAUGUCCACGAAGUGGAAUAUUUUGAGCCUUUGAAACUGAUGUCAAAGCUACAUAUUUAUUGACGUGGAAAAACAUUCUUGCUGUAUUAAUAAAUUUAAAAAUUAGAUUACAAACCAGUAAGGAUAGUGUGCUACAACUGUGGCUGGGUGCGGUGGUUCACGCCUGUAAUCCCAAAAAUUU